CAUGCACUAGUUCCCCUGUCCAUCCCCAAUGUGAGUGAAGGACGCUGAGGGGCAUGUGCAGUUGGUAAAAGAUUGAGGCCCACCCUAUUAAAAUAACUAAAUAAGCUUGUUGUAGUCCUAUAGAAAUCCACAGAUAACAAAACAGUUGUAUUAAAGGGGUUUUACCAUCACAUACAAUGGGGGCAUUUCGCUAGGAUAUGCCCCCAUUGUCCGAUAGAGGUGGGACCCGCAUCUACAAUAAGAACGGAGCGGGGAAAUUAAUGGAGGGCGCACCCGCCCUCCAUUCAUUUCAAUGGGGCCGCCGCGCUGGAUGGGCUAUUUUCGUCUGCCCCACAGAAAUGAGCGGGAGCAGGGGCCGCACAUGCGCAGUGCGCUCCCAUUCACUUGUAUGGGAGCAGUGCUUGGUGGUAGACGGACCCCGGGAAUUGCCAGGUUUCCGAAAAUCCCUUUAAUUGACAAACUCGGCUCUGCAAACUCUUUCAGAGCCUCAUUUAUCAUGGCUUUCAUAUGGGAUCAAGGGCAAAUUUAAAGAGGACCUCUAACCUCUCCUGACAGGUCUGUUUUAGUAACUACUUGCAUUCUCUGUGUAAUAACAAUUAUGGAGCCUUUAUUCUUAUGACCCUUUUUUGUGUCUUCUAUUAUUCCUGCUGGAAGUUAAUAAUGACUGUAGCAGUUUGCAAUGAAGGUCCAUAUGGGGUGUGGCCCUGCACAGCCUGCCACAGCACUGCCUGUAUAGUGACACCCCCGCAACUAGUAACACCCAUCUGCACCUUCAUUGCAAACGGCUAUUAUUUCACUCAUAACUUCUUGUAGGAAUAAUGAAGGGAUGAAACGACAUACAGCCAUAAGAAUAAAUGCUCCACAAUGGUUAUUACAUGAGGGAAGCAAGUAGGUAAUAAAAUAGACACGUCAGGAGAGGUUGAACUCUACAGUUCCACCAUCUAGAAGCUAUGCCCCAUGGACUGUUUAUCCGCAUAGUGUAACUACUGUGCAGGAUCCCAGCCGCCACACACUGAGCACAACACUUAAAGACAAGCAAUGGAAUUAAAUGGGCUGUGUAGGAUUAGAAACAGCGCCACACCUGUUCACAGGGUGCAUGUGGUAUUGCGGUUUAGUCCCAUCACUCCAUUAAAGCUGAGCCGCAAUACCAGGUACAACUCAUGGACAGGUGUGGAGCUACUUCUGGAAGAAAGCCUAUUUUUCUAAUCCUGUAAGGC